GAGAUAGGUAACUAGCCCGACUCCCCCUCCGAGAACCGUAUAUGAAAAUUUCAUCUCGUACGGCUCAAGCAGAAAUACACAAAUUUUCAACGGAUAUUAGAAAAAAGGGUUCAAAACUCCAUCAGCCACGGUAUUGGAUCGAUUUGCCUUGAAGAUAUGAAAUAAGAAAAAUCCAGAAUUUCUUCUUUGUGAUAAUAAUGCCAAAAAAUCUCAAGUUGGCUCAUCUGUCUUUCUUUCCCUUAUGUUGAUCAUUAGAGGCCUCUUGACUUUUCUCUUCCCUAUUUUUUAUUGAUUUUAUUUUUUGACUAGUCAAAAAAUAAAAUCAAAAUUUCUAGUGGUUUUCUGAUAGAAAUUAUCUUGUUGCGAUCCUAUGAAUCAGUUCAAUUAAAACCUUAGAUUCAUACUAGAGCCACGAUGAUUCAGUCUCAAGAUAAACAAAAGGCAAGGGUUCUUCGAAUAAGAACCGCUUGAUGAUCAUUUAUUGAAAGAGAAAAGAGUUCUCUUUUGGGCAAACAAAAUUGGAAGGAAGAAAAUUUCUUUUUUUAUUAAGAACUACUUCAUUUUUUUUUAAGUCUGGUUGCGAGGUCUAAAUAGUGAGUAUGAAUCAUAGUUCCUUUUUUUUGAUCCACUCUAUGUAUUUCGUGUUCCAGAUACUAGAAUAAAUAAUAUCUGACGAAUUAGAAUCAUCUUGAUAGAGAUAACAUGCCCCUUCUAUGUAUUAUCAAUAGGAUCAAUUCUAACAAGUCACACACUCAUAUUCCAGAGAU
rnacentral:lncRNA from 7 species